UUUACAUUUCCAUUUUACAACACCCAUACCCCUUUGGUUUUAAAAUAACAAAAGCUCCUCUCACGUUCAAUCUCGCUCUCUCGCUAUUCUGAACAAAUCGCCGAUUUUCAUCAGAUGGAGAUGAAGCAAAAAUUAUCAGCUUUUGGGACUAAUGAAUCCACCACUGCAAGUUUGUGUGAAAGUAACUCUUUGACUAAGGGUGAUUCUACAACAAAUGGGCCUGUCAGUGAUCAAAAUGUAAAUAACCCAACUAAUGUUGGAGUUAGUAAACAAAACGAGGCUUCCAGUAACUCACAUAGUGUUCCUUAUAUUUAUCGACAAGAUGUUGUCAAGAGUAAUACAAGUGGUUCAGUUGGGAUUGUGAGUGAAGUUGCUGGCGACUCAGAUUCAGAUGGAAGUGUAACUAAUGAUGAAGAUGAAGAUAAUGAGAAUGGAGAAGAUGAAAGCGGUGAUGUUGAUGCCAAUAGCAAUGCUAAUGGGAGUGGUGAGGGGAACAAAGGUGACCGUGAGUAUAACUGUGGUGAUCUUAAAGCCGAUCAAAUACGGGUACUAUGGCUAGAUGAUACUGAACCAGUUCAAAGUAUCAAGAAUGUAACUGUUGUUGAUAGGGGUUUCUUACAUGGUGAUUAUAUAGCUUCUGCUUCAGACUCGACUGGGCAGGUGGGUGUUGUGGUGGAUGUCAAUAUCUCUGUUGAUCUGUUGGCUCCUGAUGGAUCUACUAUAAAAGAUAUUUCCACUAGAGACUUGCAACGUGUGAGGGAUUUUGCUGUGGGUGAUUAUGUGGUUCUUGGUCCUUGGCUAGGUAGAAUAGAUGAUGUUUUAGAUAAUGUCAAUGUGUUGUUUGACGAUGGCGCUGAGUGCAAAGUUAUGAGGGCUGAACCGUUGCGUCUCAAACCAACUACCAGGAAUACCCUUGAAGACGAUAGUAAUUUCCCAUACUAUCCUGGCCAGCGUGUGCGGGCAAGCUCUUCUUCUGUUUUCAAGAAUUCUAGGUGGUUAUCUGGCUUAUGGAAGCCAAACCGGGUGCAAGGUACAGUAACUAAAGUAACAGCUGGAUCUGUGUUUAUUUAUUGGAUAGCAUCUGCUGGCUAUGGGCCUGAUUCUUCCACUGCCCCGGCUGAAGAGCAGAAUCCGAAGAAUCUAAAACUAUUGUCCUGUUUUACCCAUGCAAAUUGGCAAGUAGGUGAUUGGUGUCUUCUUCCAACUUCAUCGCAAUCCAUUCCUUUGGACAAGGGUUUUUCUAAACUGCAACGUAAUGGUUCCAUGAGAAAUGGGAGAAAUCGUGAAUGUCUCUCAGAAGAGAUGGAUGAAUCAAAUGAUAAUAUUGAAUCCAUGGAUCUUGAUGAAAUGUCUACACCUGAUGAAAGGAAUGCAAUUGUUGAAACUAAAGACAAUGGAACUAUAGACAAUAAAGUCUCACCUGAAUCUAGUUCUUGUAGCAGUUCAGUGUCAGUUUCAAAGGAGACUGUCCAUGAGCAUUGGCCCCUUCACCGCAAGAAGGUCCGUAAAGUUGUGAUUAGGAAAGACAAGAAAGCAAAAAAGAAAGGGGAUAAUUUUGAAAGGGCUCUUUUAGUUGUCAAUAGCAGAACAAGAGUUGAUGUCGCAUGGCAGGAUGGAACAGUUGAACGUGGAGUGGAUGCAACAAAGUUGAUCCCAAUUGAAACUCCUGGUGAUCAUGAAUUUGUUGCAGAGCAGUAUGUAGUGGAGAAAACCUCCGAUGAUGGUGAUGACACAUAUGAACCUAGACGAGUUGGGGUGGUCAAAAGUGUUAAUGCAAAGGAACGGACAGCUUGUGUAAAGUGGUUAAAGCCAGUUGCCAGGGCAGAGGACCCUCGUGAGUUUGACAAGGAGGAAAUUGUAAGUGUGUAUGAGCUGGAAGGACAUCCAGAUUAUGAUUAUUGUUAUGGUGAUGUAGUAGUUCGAUUACCCCUUGCUUCGUUUCGUGUGCAAUCUGUUUCUGAAGAAGGCUCCCUUGAGGAACCGAAGCCUGAAGAUGCAUUGAAGGAGGUGAAACGAGACUUUAAAAAGAACUCAGGAAACAAUGAAGUAGAAAGCGCAAAGCUGAAUGACACUUUCAUAGACUUCACAGAUCUCUCUUGGGUUGGGAACAUAACUGGCCUGAAAAAUGGUGAUAUUGAGGUUACAUGGGCUAAUGGGAUGGUCUCAACGGUUGGACCUCAAGCAAUUUAUGUUGUUGGUCGAGAUGAUGAUGAGUCAAUUGCUGCUGGGAGUGAAGUAAGUGAUGAUGCUGCUAGUUGGGAAACUGUUAAUGAUGAUGAGAUGGAUACUCUUGAGAAUGUUCAAGAGGAUCUCGAGUCACAAAAAACCAGUGGAAUUGUUUCGGAAGCGGAAGAGGGUAUGGAAAAUAAUUCUGGAAGGAAUGCAAUAUUAUCUUUCCCCUUAGCUGCAAUUGAUUUUGUCACCAGAGUAGCAAUUGGAUUCUUUUCAGGAAGACAGAAAAAUGUUGAUCCAACUGGUUUGGAUUCUGAAGGAGAAAAUGAGCGUGAGCCUGAGGGAAGUGAUCCCAGCUAUGAGUCUAGCUCACAGAAGUCUAAUGUUAUUGAUAAUUCCGGUGGGAAAUUUGUCAGUAGAAAUGGUCAGGAAUAUGUUGAAGUAGAGGCCAAGAAACAUUCACUUCCAGGGGAAGAUAAAUGCAACUUGAGGAUUGAAGACUCGGCUCCUAAAACAGGUGAUGAGGAUGAUGGUUGCAGUUUCAAGCGGUUCGAUACAGCUAAAGAUCCUCUAGAUCAUUAUUUCCUUGGUGCUAACGGACAGAAUAAUACCGGAAGGAAGUGGCUAAAGAAGGUUCAGCAAGAUUGGAACAUCCUUCAGAACAACCUGCCAGAUGGAAUCUAUGUACGAGUAUACGAGGAUCGGAUGGACCUCUUGAGGGCAGUAGUAGUUGGGGCAUAUGGGACACCUUAUCAAGAUGGUCUUUUCUUCUUUGAUUUUCACCUUCCUCCUGAGUAUUCUGAUGUGCCUCCGUCAGCAUACUAUCAUUCAGGUGGUUGGAGGCUAAAUCCUAAUCUAUACGAGGAAGGCAAGGUGUGCCUUAGCCUUCUAAACACAUGGACUGGCAGGGGAAACGAAGUUUGGGAUCCAUCGUCUUCGAGCAUACUUCAAGUCCUAGUUUCAUUGCAAGGGUUAGUGCUAAACACGAGACCAUAUUUCAACGAAGCUGGGUAUGAUAAGCAGGUUGGAACAGCUGAAGGAGAGAAAAAUUCUUUGGCAUACAAUGAGAAUACUUUCUUACUGAACUGCAAGUCGAUGAUGCACCUAAUGCGGAAGCCUCCAAAGGACUUUGAAGAACUUGUCAAAGACCAUUUCAGACGACGUGGUUAUUACAUCCUUAAAGCCUGUGAUGCAUACAUGAAAGGCUUCUUAAUCGGCUCUCUAACUAAAGAUGCCUCCAUUAACGAUGCGAACGACGCGGACUCCAAUUCAGUUGGCUUCAAGUUGAUGUUAGGCAAAAUCUCGCCAAAGCUUUUAUCGGCACUUAGCGAGGUCGGAGCUGAUUGUCAAGAAUUCAAGCAUCUCCAGCAGUCAUCAUAAUGGUAUGGGGUUUCCCCCCAAAAGACAAGACUCGUUAUCACCAUCAUGGAUGCAACAAAAGAGAGGAUGUUAACCGGAUUUGAGAUGAGUGUCGAAUAUGAGAACGAUGUAACACGAACAAGAGUAUGUUUAUGUUCGUUCGUUUAACAUUAACCGAACAAACGAACAGAUUAAAACAACUAUACGAACGAAGCUUCUUGUCUGUGUUCGUUCAUUAA